AUUGAACGCUGGCGGCAGGCCUAACACAUGCAAGUCGAGCGAGCGGCGGACGGGUGAGUAAUGUCUGGGAACCUGCCUGAUGGAGGGGGAUAACAACGGGAUACGGUAGCUAAUACCGCAUACCAUCAGAUGUGCCCAGAGGGGAUUAGCUAGUCGGUGGGGUAACGGCUCCCCUGGGCGAGGAUCCCUAGCUGGUCUGCGAGGAUGACCAGCCACACUGGAAAUGAGACACGGUCCAGACUCCUACGGGAGGCAGCAGUGGGGAAUAUUGCGCAAUGGGCGAAAGCCUGAUGCAGCCAUGCCGCGUGUGUGAAGAAGGCCUUCGGGUUGUAAAGCACUUUCAGCGGGGAGGCGUUACCCGCAGAAGAAGCACCGGCUAACUCCGUGCCAGCAGCCGCGGUAAUAC
rnacentral:rRNA from 1 species